AGAGUUUGAUCCUGGCUCAGAUUGAACGCUGGCGGCAUGCCUUACACAUGCAAGUCGAACGGCAGCACGGGAGCAAUCCUGGUGGCGAGUGGCGAACGGGUGAGUAAUAUAUCGGAACGUGCCCAGUCGUGGGGGAUAACGCAGCGAAAGCUGUGCUAAUACCGCAUACGAUCUCUGGAUGAAAGCGGGGGACUCGCAAGGGCCUCGCGCGAUUGGAGCGGCCGAUAUCAGAUUAGCUAGUUGGUGGGGUAAAAGCCCACCAAGGCGACGAUCUGUAGCUGGUCUGAGAGGACGACCAGCCACACUGGAACUGAGACACGGUCCAGACUCCUACGGGAGGCAGCAGUGGGGAAUUUUGGACAAUGGGCGC
rnacentral:rRNA from 1 species